rnacentral:rRNA from 1 species
UACGUAGGUGGCAAGCGUUGUCCGGAUUUAUUGGGCGUAAAGGGCGCGCAGGCGGUCCGUUAAGUUCGAGGUGAAAUCUCCCGGCUCAACUGGGAGGGGUCUUCGGAUACUGGCGGACUUGGGGAGAGCAGAGGUGAGUGGAAUUCUCGGUGUAGUGGUGAAAUGCGUAGAUAUCGAGAGGAACACCAGUGGCGAAGGCGGCUCACUGGGCUCCACCUGACGCUGAGGCGCGAAAGCGUGGGGAGCAAACAGG